rnacentral:ncRNA from 1 species
GGAUUGAGGGCUGAAACUCGCCCUCAUGAAGCUGGAAUUGCUAGUAAUCGCCAAUCAGCUACGUGGCGAUGAAUACGUUCCUGAGUCUUGUACUCGGGUUGCCUGGCAGUUUUAGAGAAAAGCAAGUGUAAAUCUUGCCGCAUUUAUCUCAAAAAAUGCGAAGCCAAAUCGCAGGUGUAUGUCGCGAGGCAUCCACUGAAGGGCGAAGAG